UCAUUGGGCGUAAAGGGUGAGUAGGCGGAUAUGCAAGUCUAUGUGUAAAAUACCACAGCUCAACUGUGGAACUAUGCUGGAAACUGCAUGACUAGAGUCUGAUAGGGGAAGUUAGAAUUCCUGGUGUAAGGGUGGAAUCUGUUGAUAUCAGGAAGAAUACCAGAGGCGAAGGCGAACUUCUAGGUCAAGACUGACGCUGAGUCACGAAAGCGUAGGGAGCAAACAGGAUUAGAUACCCUGGUAGUCUACGCUGUAAACGAUGCACACUUGGUGUUAAUCGAAAGGUUAGUACCGAAGCUAACGUGUUAAGUGUGCCGCCUGGGGAGUAUGUUCGCAAGAAUGAAACUCAAAGGAAUUGACGGGGGCCCGCACAAGCGGUGGAGCAUGUGGUUUAAUUCGAUGAUACGCGAGGAACCUUACCAGGGCUUGACAUAUACAGGAUAUAGUUAGAGAUAACUAUUCCCCGUUUGGGGG
rnacentral:rRNA from 1 species